rnacentral:misc_RNA from 1 species
AAGUCGUAACAAGGUUUCCGUAGGUGAACCUGCGGAAGGAUCAUUACUGAAUAGGGGGUUCUUCGGAGCCCAACCUUUCAACCCCAUGUUUACUCAACCUCGUUUCUUUGGCGGGAGCCCAACCAGCAUCUUUGCUGGUUGCCCGUCAGAAGUCUUCUUAAAUUCAAUGAUUUGUUGUCUGAGUAUCAAACAAAAUAAAUCAAAACUUUCAACAACGGAUCUCUUGGUUCUG